rnacentral:lncRNA from 1 species
ACCCCGCAGCAUGCCCCGCGGGCGAGCCUGGACGCAGGCGGAGGUCGGCAGCCUCCUGGCGCUGGUGGGAGGCUCAGGGGAGGCCGCCCUGCUGAUGGCCUCCACGUCGCGGCCCAACGAGGCGCUGUGGCAGGAGAUCUCCCGGGGGCUGGCGGCGGCCGGCUACGGCCGCAGCGUGGCCCAGUGCCGCUCCAAGUGGAAGGCGCUGAAGCAGGCUUUCCACUCGGAGCGGGAGACGCGCCGCCGUGCCGGGCGGCACUCGCCGCGCCUGCCCCCGCACUACCGCGCCAUGAAGAGCAUCUGGAAGGCGGCCGGGCGGCCCGUUUUCGGAGAGCGGCGGCUGCCCGAGCUGGUGAAGCCGCCCCCCCGGAGGCGCAGGUCGCUGGCCGCACGCUCGCCGACCUCGCCGGCACCGCCAGGUACCCGCGGGAUGGGGCAGCCAGAGAGGGGCUUGUCCUGGGUGAGGGGUGUCCUGCACCCCGCGGGGCCCCCUUGCUGAGGCUGUUCUCUGCCCGCUGCACCCCAGCUGCUGCAGAGACCCCCGCUGUGCUGCUGGCACCGCUGCUGCAGCACCCAAAGGACGAGCCGGCGAGCCGUAAGUACCGUCCUGCCCCGCCGCGCCGGGCUGCACGGCCACCGCUACAGCUCAAGCCUGUGCCAGCAUGCUGGGAUGGGGGGGUCGAAGGGGUCGGGGGGCCCCGCCGUGGUGUGUUCCCCUUGGGAUGCUCGCGGAUGGGGUUUGGGGAACUUCUCCACCCCCCCCCCCCCAAGUUUGGCUCCAAACCAACCCCGCAGCGUGAGGGUUUGGGGCCGGCUGGGGUGGGGCAGGAGGGGGAGUCCGUGGCUCGUAGCCGGCCUCGGGGCACGGCAGGCCGCAGAGCUUCGGAGGAGCUGGGACUGGGUGUGAGGGCCGGAGCCGGGAGCGUCCCCGUCCUGCAGCGCACCCGGACGGUGCCGAGGCGAUGCAGGAUACGUCCCCGGGCCCGGCCUGUGCGGGCAGGUGAAGGGAGCGGGUGCUGUUCCCCGAGCCUGCUGGCUCACCGGCAGGGAUCGGGGCCGCGGGGCGGAACAGGAGAAACACCUCCCCAAAAACAGGAGCAGAGAAGGGCCCGGCGCCGGGGAAGCCCCGGCUGCUGCUUCAUCCCCCCCCCCGGCCCCGCUGGCGCUGGGGAGCGAACCCCGGCGUCCCGGCCAGCGUCCGCACCGGGUAAUUACGUUGUCUCCCUAAAUUCCCCCUGCAGUUUCAAGUGGAUGUGGGAUUCUCCUUCACUUCCAGUCCUAAUCUGUUGCGUAGCCUGGCCGCGCGCCGCUACGCAGCUGCUGCCUUCCAGCCCGGAGGUGGCUGCAUUGCAGUGGUGGGUGAGUGACUCCUGCUUUUGUUCCUAGCUCGUGAGGCGCUUUGAGGCCCCGCAGGGCGCUGGGGAGCUGUGGCUAGGGCACGCCGGGCUGGCCGGGGCAGCGAGGCAGACCCCGGGCUGAUGCCGUCCCCCCGGCGGGUGCCGUCAGACCCCGCGUCUCCUCUCUGCUCUCUCCCUGCAGCCCGCGGGGACCGCGUCGCUGGAGCAUCGCCCGACCCCGCGGCCGCCCCACGUAAGGCUUUCCUUGUCCUGAUUUCCCCCUCUCAGCCCCGUGAGCAGGCUCCGACCCGCUUCUCAUUGCAGGUACCAGCUGCUGCAUCCCUCCCCAUCCCCUCCUGGGUGAGUACCGUGCCCCGGCUGCCGAGCUCGUGUCCCCGCGGGGCCGGAGCCACCCCCCGGUGACCGCUGCUCUCCCGCAGGCUGCCACGGCGCCCUGAAAGAGGAGAGCGCCGAGCUGAAGGCAGGUGAGUCUGCGCCCUCUCCCCUGCACAGGGCAGCGGGGACGGGCUGAGCAGGGGGCUCCAGGAGCCCGCUGCGCCCUCCGUGCCAACCCCCGGCCGCAGGUUUUCCUGGUGAGACGUCCCCGGGGAUGGGAAGAGGAAACCGAGUGCUGCCGGCGGCCACCGCAGCCCCCGGCUCCCCCGGGACGGCCGCUGCGAGCGAGCAGGCGGUGGGCGAAGAGGCAGCGGACACGAGCCUGCAAGGUGGGUCCCCCCCGAUCCCCCCCCCCCCCCCNNNNNNNNNNNNNNNNNNNNCCCGGGACGGCCGCUGCGAGCGAGCAGGCGGUGGGCGAAGAGGCAGCGGACACGAGCCUGCAAGGUGGGUCCCCCCCGAUCCCCCCCCGCCCCCCGCCUUGGACAUGUUGGUGAGGGGGGGGCUGCCCCUGACCCCCGCUGUCGCUGCAGGCGGCGGCGUGGCGGGCUUGCUGCAGAGCGUGCAGCAGCUGCUGGUGCAGAUCCUGCAGACGUCGCGGCAGCAGCAGGCGCUGCUGGAGAGCCUGGCCAGCGACACCGUCUCCCACCUCCACC